GUGCUCAAUUGGGCAGCACAUAUACUAAAAUUGCGACAAUACAGUGAAGAUUAGAAUGGCCCCUGCACAAGGAUGACCCACAAAUUUGUGAAGUAUUCCAUAAUUUU